rnacentral:piRNA from 1 species
UAGGUGUCUAGCCAGAAAGCUGGCUGAGGU